rnacentral:tRNA from 1 species
GAGGGUAUAGCUUAAGUGGUAGAGUGCAUGCUUAGCAUGCAUGAGGUCCUGGGUUCAAUCCCCAGUACCUCCU